UGCCAGCCGCCGCGGUAAUACGGAGAGUGCAAGCGUUGUUCGGAAUCAUUGGGCGUAAAGGGCGUCUAGGUGGCCUGGCAAGUCAGAUGUGAAAUCCCUCGGCUUAACCGAGGACGUGCAUUUGAAACUGCUAGGCUUGAGUGUCGGAGGGGGUAGCGGAAUUCCCGGUGUAGAGGUGAAAUUCGUAGAUAUCGGGAGGAACACCAGUGGCGAAGGCGGCUACCUGGCCGAACACUGACACUGAAGCGCGAAAGCAUGGGGAGCAAACAGGAUUAGAUA
rnacentral:rRNA from 1 species